rnacentral:rRNA from 1 species
CUCGUAGGCGGCCAACUAAGUCAGACGUGAAAUCCCUCAGCUUAACUGGGGAACUGCGUCUGAUACUGGAUGGCUUGGAUUUGGGAGAGGAAUGCGGAAUUCCAGGUGUAGCGGUGAAAUGCGUAGAUAUCUGGAGGAACACCGGUGGCGAAGGCGGCAUUCUGGACCAAUAUUGACGCUGAGGAGCGAAAGCCAGGGAGCAAACG